AUGAACGCUAGCGACAGGCCUAACACAUGCAAGUCGAGGGCAGCACAAGGAGCAAUCUGAGGUGGCGACCGGCGCACGGGUGAGUAACACGUAUGCAACCUGCCUGUAAGCGGGGAAUAACCCGUUGAAAGACGGACUAAUACCGCAUAAUACUAAAUUACUGCAUGGUAAUUUAUUUAAACAUUUAUGGCUUACAGAUGGGCAUGCGCAUGAUUAGCUAGUUGGAGAGGUAACGGCUCCCCAAGGCAACGAUCAUUAGGGGUUCUGAGAGGAAGGUCCCCCACACUGGUACUGAGACACGGACCAGACUCCUACGGGAGGCAGCAGUGAGGAAUAUUGGUCAAUGGACGAGAGUCUGAACCAGCCAAGUCGCGUGCAGGAAGAAUGUCCUAAUGGAUUGUAAACUGCUUUUGCAGGGGAAUAAAGUGCAUCACGUGUGAUGUUUUGUAUGUACUCUGCGAAUAAGGAUCGGCUAACUCCGUGCCAGCAGCGGC
rnacentral:rRNA from 1 species